rnacentral:rRNA from 1 species
CCAGACUCCUACGGGAGGCAGCAGUGAGGAAUAUUGGUCAAUGGUCGGGAGACUGAACCAGCCAAGCCGCGUGAGGGAGGAAGGUACAGAGUAUCGUAAACCUCUUUUGUCAGGGAACAAAGGCGGGGACGUGUCCCCGGAUGAGUGUACCUGAAGAAAAAGCAUCGGCUAACUCCGUGCCAGCAGCCGCGGUAAUACGGAGGAUGCGAGCGUUAUCCGGAUUUAUUGGGUUUAAAGGGUGCGCAGGCGGAGGUGCAAGUCAGCGGUCAAAUUGCGGGGCUCAACCCCGUACUGCCGUUGAAACUGGCGUUCUUGAGUGGGCGAGAAGUAUGCGGAAUGCGUGGUGUAGCGGUGAAAUGCAUAGAUAUCACGCAGAACUCCGAUUGCGAAGGCAGCAUACCGGCGCCCAACUGACGCUGAAGCACGAAAGCGUGGGUAUCGAACAGGAUUAGAUACCCGCGUA